CACAGCAUCAUCCAGUCUUACAGAGUGGAGGUGUAGGUGGGCACGGCACAGGUGGAGUGGGCCAAGGAGUGGGUCAGGUUGGUGGAGUGCCACCUGGGCCAAGCCCUCAGCCCCCAGGACCGCCACACGACCUCAAUACACAAGCACUCCCACCAGGUUCAACACAGCAAAUACAACAAGGCUCAGGAGGGACCUUACCGGUGGCAUCACCCCAACAUGAUGUACUCCACCACGACACAGAAUCAGCCCCAGGGACCACAAC